UAUGAAAGUGACUGUGCAUGUGUAUGUGGGUGUGUUUGAAUGAUGUUGAAAGAAAAUAUAUCGUUUCCCCCACAGUGCCUUUUCUCAAGUGCGAUGGCUGUUAUCCUGAAUAUACAUCUCACUGCAGUGCCCAUACUUAAAGAAGAACAAUCUAAAGAUAAAUUUUAAUAUAUAAAAGCACAUAGACUUCCAGAUAAACAUGGCAGCAGUUUAGAAGCAAGACUCUUCCUCUCCUCAGCAUCCACCAAUAUAGACUACCUCAAAAGAUAAAAAAAAAAAAAAACAAAUUCAUCAGAAUGAAGGCACUCUAUAAUAGGGCACAGCAUUGAAGGCACAUGGAAUUUGGGCAUUUCCACACUAUAAGGGGGUGAAAAAACUCCCAACAAAACGCGACUUGAUCUACCCUCCCCCACCCCACCUACCAAGCCAGAGUCAGAGUCAGCACACGCCAGAAUCAGCGAGUGAGAGAGGGGAAACUCUAGAUCCAAGAGGAAGGAGAAACAUCUCUAAAGACAAGAAGGAUGAAGAAAAAGAGAUUAUGGGAAUAACAAAAUCAUGGGCAAAGCUAAACCUUUCUUGUAAGAGACUCAUCUGUGUAGAAAUGAUUUUGGAGCCCUUGAGAACUUGAGAUCAACAAGAGAGGGAGAAGAGAACAAAGAUUCUUGGAACAAUCAUCAUUAUGUGAAGAAUAUGAAGUAAAGCCUCAAGAUUAUUACUUUUUAUUACUAUUAAUGAUCUGGAGAAUUAUUUUCAUAUGAUUGAUCACAAUUUUUCUUUUGAAAAUUAUUGAUAUUCUUUGAUACAGAUCUAUUGAGAUAUUUGGUACUAUCUCUUCUUGACAAUCUUUUGCAAAUAAAUUCUCUUUAAGAGUUCCA
rnacentral:lncRNA from 1 species